UACGAAGGGGGCUAGCGUUGCUCGGAAUCACUGGGCGUAAAGGGCGCGUAGGCGGCCAUUCAAGUCGGAGGUGAAAGCCCAGGGCUCAACCCUGGAAUUGCCUUCGAUACUGUUUGGCUAGAGACCGGAAGAGGUAAGUGGAACUGCGAGUGUAGAGGUGAAAUUCGUAGAUAUUCGCAAGGACACCAGUGGCGAAGGCGGCUCACUGGCCCGAUACUGACGCUGAGGCACGAAAGCGUGGGGAGCAAACAGG
rnacentral:rRNA from 1 species